AAAUUCCACCUGUAGGAGGGGGAGAGAGCCCCUUCCUGAGAUUUGGGAUGCGUGCAGGAACAAGAUCCCCCUUGUGGAAUACACGGAGCAUUUCCCAGUGCAAGGGUAAGAAGCUGAGCUGUGGCUGCUCCAAAUGAGGGUAGAUGCCACUUUUCUUAGAAGAAUUGGAAAGAGAAGAAUGGUUCCCUUCCAGGCCCAUGCAAGCCUUGUCAAAUGAAAAGGAGAAUAACUGGCUUAUCAGAGGGAAAGUAUUUCUACACCAAAUACACCUACUUGCCUGGAUUACAUUAAAAGACACAGAAAAAAAUAUGUGAGAAAGAAGCAGUUUUCUGUCAGAUCUUGUGCUGAUCUUCUGAUCUGGGUAUCAUCCACUGGCUAAAUAAAAUAUUUGGAACAGGG